CGAAAAUGUUUGAAGAACUCUUUCAAGAGAUGAUUCGGAAAAUGGGCAUUUUCAUUGGUGACACUUACAAGAGAAUUGCAAAUAAUAAAAUGCUAGAAUGCGAUUUUUUUGACCCUAAAAAUUUUGUAUGUGAAAUAAAAUGUAAAGAUAUAGAAAGAAAAUACACAACACAAGGCCUGGGUUGUUAUUUAAGAUCUGGUCUCGUAGUGACAGCCUUUCAUGUUUUAAAAGAUAAUUAUGAAAUAUCUGUAAGGUUUUUAAAUCAAUCCUGUAAUUUGUGGUACAAGGCUCAAUGUAUAAAAACAGAUCAAAAGCAUGAUUUGGCUUUGAUUCAGUUGCAAGAAUCUAUUGAUGAUCUACCAUACCAAAACAUCCUAAUUAAAAAUGAAAUAGAAAUAAAUGAAAAGAUAUAUUUUUUAGCUCAGGGACCUAAAGGCCUCCAAAAGAAGGACGGCAGAAUUGUUAUGAUUCCCAAACCUAAACAUACUAUAGAUGGUGUACUACAGAAUGAAUUUCUGAUUUCUGAAAAAGGGGUUGAAGGGGACAGUGGAAGUCCUGUUUUUUCAGAUUGUAAAUUGAUUGGGAUAUACCGUGCAGCUGCCAAGCCCACAAAGAAGAGACGGCCUAAUGAAGAAUAUGGCAUGGUUAUGAAGAUUGAUGAAUCUUUUCUAAAAUUGUAGUCAAUCAUUUUAAAUAUUAUAUACUUCAUCAUUUUUUCAUUAGAACCCUUUUCUUUGCAGAUAGCCUGUACCACCCUUUGCUUUAAGAAUGUUUCCUAAGAAUGUUUCUAAAUGAACACAAAAAAAAUCCUAAUAUCCCUAAUUUUAAUGUUGGUAUCAUUUGCUUGGCCCAUUCCUCUCUCUUCACCAAGUACUUUCCUACCCUCUCUUUACAAUACUGUCAAGUAUUGUAAAAAAGGCAAAAAUGCACUUCAGUUUUAGGGGUCAUGAAUAAGAGUGAUUUGACUCUGAGGGUAAGAUGCAAUUCUCAUACUGUGUACUUGUGAAAUUGCCCAUUGUUCGCCACUUCCCGAAGAGAGAUCUUGUGUCUUACCCAAAACAACAUUGUGUCCUGUGUCAAUCUGGAGCAGAGAGGUUCUGAAAUCUUGGGGGGAAAAAUAGGUCAAGUUUCUUCAGGAACUUGAUACACCUUUCAUGUCACCUCAAGUUCAACUAAAUCUGCUCCAGCCUGCACAAGAUGACACUACGGGUCAAGCAGACUGUCUUACUCUCUCUUUGUCUCACCACCCACUCAAAAAAAUAUUUAGGCCUAAUUCAUAAGAUUUAUGUAUUUUGAUUACAUGUAACAUUUCCAUCCAUUUGGAUAACAUACUUUUAAUCUAAAAAAAAAAACAAAUAAACUUUAUAUGAUAGAUAUUUUUUUGAUAUAUGUAAAUGAAACCAUUAAAAUGUAUGUAAUAGUUUUACUUAAUCCAAUGUGUUUUAAAAAUUGAUUAUGUAUUCUUUAUUAAUAAACCCAAUUCACUUAAAAUGCAUUACAUUUAGGUAUCUUACUAAUAAACCAUUUAUACAUUUGUAUAUA